AAUCUUUGCUCAAAAUCAUGAUUCCCUUCAGCUUCGGUUUACGGGUGAUCUUCUAAUGGAGUUGGGUGCUGGGGUAGAGUUGGCAACUACAGCUGUGCCACACCUUUUUCUGCCUUUAGCUUGUGCUACCAAUGUGGCCAAGAAUGUUGGUGCUGUCACAUCAACCUCGACUCGCACUCCAAUAUA